GUUCUUAUAGUUGAAUACAACAGCAGUUUUUCAGAUUGCAAGUCUAGGUUAAAGUCCUUGUAGGAAUU
rnacentral:tRNA from 3 species